AGUGAAUGCUGGCGGUAGGCCUAACACAUGCAAGUCGAACGGCAGCACAGUAAGAGCUUGCUCUUACGGGUGGCGAGUGGCGGACGGGUGAGGAAUACAUCGGAAUCUACUUUUUCGUGGGGGAUAACGUAGGGAAACUUACGCUAAUACCGCAUACGACCUACGGUUGAAAGCAGGGGAUCUUCGGACCUUGCGCGAUUGAAUGAGCCGAUGUCGGAUUAGCUAGUUGGCGGGGUAAAGGCCCACCAAGGCGACGAUCCGUAGCUGGUCUGAGAGGAUGAUCAGCCACACUGGAACUGAGACACGGUCCAGACUCCUAAGGGAGGCAGCAGUGGGGAAUAUUGGACAAUGGGCGCAAGCCUGAUCCAGCCAUACCGCGUGGGUGAAGAAGGCCUUCGGGUUGUAAAGCCCUUUUGUUGGGAAAGAAAAGCAGCAGGUUAAGACCCCGCUGUUCUGACGGUACCCAAAGAAUAAGCACCGGCUAACUUCGUG
rnacentral:rRNA from 1 species